UGAUUAUCCGCGCUGUGAUUGGUCCGGUUAUCUGACCCGGGGACUGCCAGGAGAAGACAAUAGUUUUAGUCAAAUUAUUUGCCAUGGUGACGCUGUCAAUCAGGGGUAACCCGAUCUGUUUUGAGGUGGCUCCCCGGCUGGGUUGACAGAUUGCUCAGAUCCACUCCGAGGCGGCCCCGCGAGCUGAGAUAUUGGCUGGCGAGGGAGAAACCGCCGCCGGGAUUGGCGCUGCGGGCGCCCGUCGGGAGCGGGCAGCGGAGAGCGCUGAGCCGCCGUCGGGGCCCGCAGCCCGGGCUCUGCUCGGCCCGGCGGCUGCGUUGGGGACGGACAGCCGGGCGGGCCCUCGCUGAAAGUUUCUUUCUAAAUGCACUUAACACCCUUCCAGACGCCCAGCGACAACUGUCGCGAUGGGCUUUAUAGGGAAGGGGCCUCUAGGGUACAAUAGGAACCCUGUUCGCCACUGGAGUAUCGUCACAGAGCGGCACUACCUGCCCGCCGGGCCCCAGUCAGGCAUGGCCGCAGCCGAGCGCAGCCCCGCUGACCGCAGCCCGACCGCCCCUUUAGGUGCGCCUUUUCGGCCGCCGAGCUUUUAUUUCUGCUUCGUUUUCAGCAGCGUGCCGGGCUGUUUCCAGCCAGGGGCACGGAGAAAAGUUAGAGGCGCUUCGCGUGGCGAAGCUGUCCCGCAUCGCCCACGCGUGCCCUACGCACGGCGAUUUUAAUUCAGCGUCUGUGCGGGGAGGGGAGGACCUUCGCCUCUUCCAGUCGCUCUCGGGGCACGUAACGAACGCGGAUGAGCUGAUGCGGGCCGAACGGGAGUGGAGCGGCCAGGCAGGGGUCCCCGAGGUGUCUGCGGACCUCUCGGUCGGACGGGAGCUGGAAGUCCCAGCUUCGGGCACUCGAGAGGAACCCCUCUAUCCCAAAAGUAGGGCGUUUCUCAUCCCCCUUAAUGCUUCAGUUCUGGGGAAGAAACGAUAAGAAUAACGAAACCGAGCCCUACGCCAUUUACAGCCCCAACUGGAGGGCUGUCCGCAGCUGUGGGUUCCCGACAAGAAAUCUUUUUGACACCGCCCAGCUGCACCCCCGAGCUCGAGGAGCUCACGAAGCAGCAGGAAGCGGCUCCCCUCCGCGCAGCCGGACCCCCGCGGCGGGAGCCGGGCCGGGCACAGCUGCUCCCCCAGGGAGACGAGGGAGGGCGGCGGCGGCGCGGCGCGGCCCGGACGCUCCCGGCGGCUGCCGGCCCGGAGCAGCGCCAGUGUGAAGGGCGGCGGGGGGGAGGCAGGAGGAGAGGGGUGGGGGAGCGAAUCUGCCUCCUCCAGCCCCGCCGCAUCCGGGACGCUGUGCGGCUGGGUUCGCUUGGCACUUGAAUCUGAACGGGAGCAGCUGUUCGCCCUAGCUAGAAGGGAGCCGGCAAAACCUGUUGCACGGAUCUAGAGCUGAGAAUGUCUCCUCUUAGCUUCCUCCACGCCGGGUAGGGCGAGGCCGUCCCUUCCCCACGCCGCGCAGCAGAGAGGUGGCAAAUCGGUGACAUCUGGCCCCGAAUGCUGUGGAACCUCUUUUAACGUUCGGGAAGGAAAAAAUCUUCCUGAACGUGUUAGGAAGGGGAGUAAAGCCCUGCCUGACUGCAAAGCCACGACGCGGGGCGAGGCCGGUUGUAGAGCCUUGCGAGGGAACGAAACGACCGGGCGAGGAGCUUUUCGGUGUGGACGAAAGGGCUCUUUCGCCGCAAUCGUACCCCGGGGUGAGUGACCGGAGCCGCCUGCUAACCGCGUCCUCACCCCGAGGGAACUUUCCGCCGGGUCGCUGUCAGCUCUCCCCGUGCAGCCGCACUCAAAGGCUCUCCCCGGGCUGAGCGAGACUCGUGCUGGGCACAGGAGCCCCAGCUUCUUCCCGGGCCCGUUCCCGUCCCCGUCCCCAUACCCGGCCCCGGCCACGCUCCCUGCCCGAGUGUGACUUCGCCGGAGCGUGCAGGACAGGCGGUGUCAGCGCGAGUCCUUGUGAAAUCUAAGCGAAAUAAACCAAAAAGCCGUUUUUCUCGUAACGCUCCUUUUAUUGAGCAGGGAGCAGUAGAGCUGAGGGGAGGGAGGGACGCCCGAGCGUGUCUCUUCCAGGAGCCUCUCGCUGCACGUAACCGGUUUGUGUCCGUACGUGAGUGCCAAUACAACGCCGAAGUUAUGUGACAGUCUCCCUCCCGGCCGUGCCUCCCCCCAGCCCGCAGCCACCCGCAGGCCGCAGAUCCGCACUGCGCCCUUGGCAGAUGAUGCGCCUUCUCGCGGACAGCCUCAUCCCUCCUGCGGCCCUUCAGCCACCCGAGACGAAGGGCGCAGAGGGGCUCUCGGGGCUGGUAGAGUAAAAUGCUGAACCCCGAGGUGUUCCUAUUGCCAGGAUGAAACACAUCUUCCUCACACACGUCCUUUACCGUGGUGAGGACUGUAGAGAGAGCAAGCAAGUGACAAACGGCUCCAACUUAGCGUUUAUUCUUUCCUUUCCUUUCCUUUCCUUUCCUUUCCUUUCCUUUCCUUUCCUUUCCUUUCCUUUCCUUUCCUUUCCUUUCCUUUCCUUUCCUUUCCUUUCCUUUCCUUUCCUUUCCUUUCCUUUCCUUUCCUUUCCAUCAUGACACAAUAUGCAUUUCCUUCUAAAUCAGGGUGCUCUAACUUGGGUGAAAGCCUGCUUCUCUAUCUCGCUUUUCCUUGGAUCACAACGACCCUUAGGAGCAGCCUGCGUGUCCCCCCCGAGCACCCCCCGGCCUGCCCGCGUCUGCCUCCACCGUGCCCCGACCCACGGCCAUGGCACAGCGUGGAGCCCGGAGGCAUUUCGCAGCCGGGAGCCUCGGGUUCUCUCUCCGGCUUAUUUAUUCACGUUAUAUAUUUAUUUCGGCGUUUUAUUCCGAAACAAACCGGAGUCUGUCCCAUCACAGAUGGCCGGAGACGGACUGAGAUCCCGCCCCGGCCGAAAAUGAAAACACGACGGAGGAUCACCGCGAAUAACUCAAUUAAGACUAACAACAAUGGCUUGUUGUUCUGUGAUUUGGGGCGAAAGGACUCACUGAAAGCUGCCUGAGCGCGCUGUUCCUCGGGGGGAUCCGCCGAGGAUUCUAGAUCUGCAGAGGGGCACUCGGUUAUGCCAUCAAACCCGCUCGAAAGAAAGCUCCGGGGGCGGCGAGGUGCUGAGAGAGGGGGGCCCAGGCACGGCCCCACUUCCCGGCCGAGGAACGCGCUCCCUCCCAUUGCCUCCGUUAAUGCGACCCUUCCUCGUUACCUUCUGUGAAGGUAUCCCCUCUCAGCCUUGGGCGCUGGGCUCAGGAUUUUCACUUCCUCCUACCAGCAGCACCCCGACCCACAGUGCCAACGCUUAUUUAGGGAUCCCCGUCUCACAGCCAGGCUCGGGUCCCGCGGAGAAGGGACACCGUUUGGGAGCGGCCCGGGGACAGGGGACGUGGCCCCGUAUCCCCUGGGCCGCGCAGCGCCUCGGAUGCUCCUCGGCACGGGGGGACCCUCGGCAAAGGCAGCGCGCAGCUCGCAGACAAGACAACAACAGCAGCAGGCACAUAUGGUUAAAAUAAGGAGAGCCUUCCGCCUCAGGGGAUUGGCAUUAACUAGCCAGAAAUGCGGGGCACUGCAUCCAAAGUUCUGGUGGGCUUCUGCGGGAUUGACAACUGAAAUCACGCUACAAGCAUCACUUUGACAAUAUUUGUAAACUUCGUGUUUCCCGGGAUCUUCUUGAUCAGAGGUAUACGAGGCUGGUAUGAGCUCAAGCCACGAAGGUCUCUCUUUUUUUUUUUUCUUUCUUUUUUUUCCUUCCUCCUCCUUUUCCCUCUUCCGAGUUGAUGAAUAGCGAUCAGGUUUCUUUUAAUGGCUGCCCCCUAUUCUCACAGCCUCCCACAACUAACCCGAGAGCCGGUUUCCUCGACCUCAGUUAAUUCCACUGAUUAUUCCAAGAUGAUGAGGAAAGCACGAAGAUUGUCCACUGCUCCUACCGAUUCCAGGCGUUUUUGUUACCGUCUCCAUCCUCGGCUCACGGGGAUUUAACCGGGCCGUAUUUUUAGGAUCGGGCUGCCUUUCCCCUUCUGCUCCCUUCUCAGCUGACAUCCUCCUGCUCUUGGCUCACUGCUCGGUCGCGGCGCGACCCUCGGGCUGGGGCGGUGGUUGGGGUGUUCCUGGGCGGGGGUCUGGGGUUGCCCAAAGGGAAGCAAACCUCGGGCCGCCCCCCGUCUCCCCAAGGGGAUUUUCGGCCCCCCCUCAGAAAUGAAACCGGCCCCCGGCCGCGGGCUGCGUGGAGGCCGUCCGGGAGGGCCGCGGGGGUAGAUCCACUCCGAGAAGUCUCACUAGAGGGCUCUGAUACUCAGCUCCGGCCGCUGCUCGGUGAACGUAAGAGCGGCUCCGUUCUCACUGUCCCUCAGCCUCCCGGGUGCAGCCCGACAGCUCUCCCCCGCGCCGCCGAAGGUGCUCCCGCGUGGUGUCACCACCGCGGUGUCCACUCUCCUCUGGGUCCAUCCCAUGGCAAAAGCGAGGAGAGCGGUCCCCAAAGCAGCCCGAGCUCCCACUUCGCUCCCUCGACGCAUUUAUCCUUGUCAAGAAUCAGGGAGCGAGCGGUAUUUACAGACAGGUAACAUUUCUUUUUCUCACUAGAAGGAGGACCUUGCGUAAGUUCUUCCACGGUCUACUGAGCACAGUGUGCCCAUAAAUACAGCUACCAUUUAAUUCUGCAGGGCUGAGGCAAGCUGAAAUGCAAUGCAGCGUUAGCAAGCAGUAGACACGGAUACGUGAAUGUCAAAGACCAGGAACCAAAUCACAGGGAAUCUGUUUCCACUAGGGAUUUUUGUUUUUCCAUUUUAAACAACUUCUAUCAUUUGCUGUUGAGAACAAAUAAAACCAAACCAGCCUCUAUCAAUGAGAUCCAAGGCGGUUCUUAUGUGCAAGGGAAACUUCGUAAAAUGUUCCAAUGCGUUCAAUUUGUUUCAACUCCCAAGAAUGUUGUAACAAGCAAUUACAGAAAUUAGGAAGUGCAAUUUGGUUUGUUUGCUGUAUUUUGCAAUUCUCCCAGAAGCUUUGUGUACAGAUCAAAACUGCAGCAUAAAAGCUUUGUGGAAAGUUGGAUAGUUUAGAUAAUUUAACAACAGUUUAAAGCCAAUCCAUUUUCCAGUGGAAAAUUUGCUACUUCUGAACUUGAGAAAAUGUUUUGUAUUUGAGUCUUGGAUUGUUUGGCCUCCUCUUUCCUGGAUUAAUCUGGAUUAAUUCAGUCUCUGUCCUUUGGUUUCUUCUCCCCUUUAUUUCAUAGGUUCUUGAAUAGUUCAAGUGCACCGUGGACCUCUUAAUUCCCAGAAAAGCUCUGUGAUUUAAACAGACUUGGCGUCCCAUUUCAUUCCUUUCUUUCUUCUUUUUUUCUUUUCUAAUCAUCAGUUUGAUCUUCAUUACAAACAGAGACUUUAAGACUAGUCAAAUAGUGACUUUGUUGAUUAUUCAAGAUGCAGAACAGGCCAGCCCAGUGAACACGGAGUUAUUUUCAGGCAGUUAAGCCACUAAAGCAGGAAAAUCUAAGGCUCUAUAAGUUGCUGGUUAAGGAAAUGUCUGCUUGUGAGGCACCAUUCCCACUGCUGUUUUCUUCAAUAGUUCCAUCAUGUGUGUGUGGUAUGUAGUGCUAUGCUUUCCAUUGGAAGAUGCCAGCCCUGUUUUACUCAGCAACAGAACGUAGUUUAAAUAUGUGUGCAAGAAGGGACUUAACUGAGUCCCACCUUACUGAUACUCCAUGGUUCUUCAUUCUUUUAACACAGUUUAAUCAUCACUUCAGCAAUUUCCAGUAGUUCCCUUCAUUCUCCCCAUAAGUUGCAGAGGAAACCCAGACAACUGAUGCAGGGCUAAAGAUUCCCUGGAGUCACAGAGAGCUAUAAAGUGGGAUUCUUCUGUAACCACCUCUUACUGCUGGUCUGUCUGUUACAUUCUACAGUUAGUAAACAAGUAGGAAAAUAUUUGUUACAGGGUGUGUGUACACACACACAUAUAUAUAUGUUUGCAUAUAUAUAUAUAUACAUAUAACAGUUUUAAUUAAGUUUUGUUUAAUUUUACUUUAGGUUAAAACUGAGACCAUCUUUUCUCUAAACCUAAACAUUAGGAGAACUACAUGACAGCAGUAUAAGUCAAUAAAUGUUAAUUUAAAUUAUUCAUUUCAGCCACACAAGAAGAGCUUAAGGAUCAGGUUAUGAGAUGAGCUGGACAAAGUCCACAAAUAAUUUUACAGAAAAAAACGAUUUCUUAUCUUUUCUUUCUUUCCUUUUUUUCUUUUUUUGUCUGAUCAGCAUUUUGAAUCAAGUAUAGUGAUGGAGGAAGGUGUUGCGUCUGUGUUUGUUUUCAAGUGAAAGAAGGUUGGCAGCAGCAUUUGGAACACAUGGCAUAAGUCUGGGAACUGGGCCUUACAGCCAUCGUAAAGAAGUGAGCUUCAGCUUCCAAGAAGAGAAGAAAGCAGAGAGAUAUAAUUGGGUCUGCACGUACCAAUUGGAUCAAUAAAGCAUAGUCAACUCCAAGAUAGAAGUAUACAACAUGAUUACUUUCAGAUAAUUAGAAGACUUGUAUUUUACUUCAUAUUCCUGCGAAAUUUGUCUAG
ensembl:lncRNA